rnacentral:rRNA from 1 species
AACGAACGCUGGCGGCAGGCCUAACACAUGCAAGUCGAGCGAGACCUUCGGGUCUAGCGGCGGACGGGUUAGUAACGCGUGGGAAUGUACCCUUCACUGCGGAAUAGCCACUGGAAACGGUGAGUAAUACCGCAUACGCCCUUCGGGGAAAGAUUUAUCGGUGAAGGAUCAGCCCGCGUCUGAUUAGAUAGUUGGUGGGGUAACGGCCUACCAAGUCGACGAUCAGUAGCUGGUUUUAGAGGAUGAUCAGCAACACUGGGACUGAGACACGGCCCAGACUCCUACGGGAGGCAGCAGUGGGGAAUCUUAGACAAUGGGCGCAAGCCUGAUCUAGCCAUGCCGCGUGUGUGAUGAAGGCCCUAGGGUCGUAAAGCACUUUCGCCAGGGAUGAUAAUGACAGUACCUGGUAAAGAAACCCCGGCUAACUCCGUGCCAGCAGCCGCGGUAA